AACGAACGCUGGCGGCAGGCCUAACACAUGCAAGUCGAGCGGACCCUCCGGGGUUAGCGGCGGACGGGUGAGUAACGCGUGGGAACACGCCCUUCUCUACGGAAUAGUCUCGGGAAACCGGGGGGAAAACCGUAUACGUACCUGGGGGGAAUGCUUUAUCGGGGAAGGAUUAGCCCGCGUUGGAUUAGGUAGUUGGUGGGGUAAGGGUCUACCAAGCCGACGAUCCAUAGCUGGUUUGAGAGGAUGAUCAGCCACACUGGGACUGAGACACGGCCCAGACUCCUACGAGAGGCAGCAGUGAGGAAUCUUAGACAAUGGGCGCAACGCUGAUCUGGCCAUGCCGCGUGAGUGAUGAAGGCCUUGGGGUUGUAAAGCUCUUUCAGCUGGGAAGGUGGUGACGGUACCAGCAGAAGAAGCCCCGGCUAACUCCGUG
rnacentral:rRNA from 1 species